AUUUGAACAUUUGUGUGUCUGUGUCCGAGUGUGUAUUUCAUGAGACUGAGCUUGUGUGAGUUGGAACAUUUAAUUGUGUGCAUAGAGUAACCCAUGCUGAUGGCGCAGGCCAGCAUCCUGUGGCUGAUGGGAGAGUACAGUGAGGACUAACCCCUCUGUGUCUCCAGGUGCUGAUGGCGCAGGCCAGCAUCCUGUCGCUGAUGGGAGAGUACAGUGAGGACUAACCCCUCUGUGUCUCCAGGUGCUGAUGGCGCAGGCCAGCAUCCUGUGGCUGAUGGGAGAGUACAGUGAGGACUAACCCCUCUGUGUCUCCAGGUGCUGAUGGCGCAGGCCAGCAUCCUGUGGCUGAUGGGAGAGUACAGUGAGGACUAACCCCUCUGUGUCUCCAGGUGCUGAUGGCGCAGGCCAGCAUCCUGUGGCUGAUGGGAGAGUACAGUGAGGACUAACCCCUCUGUGUCUCCAGGUGCUGAUGGCGCAGGCCAGCAUCCUGUGGCUGAUGGGAGAGUACAGUGAGGACUAACCCCUCUGUGUCUCCAGGUGCUGAUGGCGCAGGCCAGCAUCCUGUGGCUGAUGGGAGAGUACAGUGAGGACUAACCCCUCUGUGUCUCCAGGUGCUGAUGGCGCAGGCCAGCAUCCUGUGGCUGAUGGGAGAGUACAGUGAGGACUAACCCCUCUGUGUCUCCAGGUGCUGAUGGCGCAGGCCAGCAUCCUGUGGCUGAUGGGAGAGUACAGUGAGGACUAACCCCUCUGUGUCUCCAGGUGCUGAUGGCGCAGGCCAGCAUCCUGUGGCUGAUGGGAGAGUACAGUGAGGACUAACCCCUCUGUGUCUCCAGGUGCUGAUGGCGCAGGCCAGCAUCCUGUGGCUGAUGGGAGAGUACAGUGAGGACUAACCCCUC